AUUCUCACUCCAAAGGCGUCAAAAACCGAAGCAUGGUCAAGCGCCCCUAGCGUCACUUUUAUGACGCCAAAUGUGCCUCUUGGCGUCGAAUAUCGAAGCACUACGACCUUCAUUGCUUUCAGUGGGAAACUUUUGGCGUCAGAAUUCGACACGACGAGGACAUGAGAUGUUUAUCGCUAUGAAAUCACGUUCAAGAAGUCUCAUUCAGCACACAUCGCGAUACUUGCUAUCAGUUCCACAGUUUGGCUGAAAAGACGUAAAGGAAGCCCAGUGGUGUUUCUGGAGAGCUAUUCCUUCAGAAAUGGAGAAGACAGAAAGCUGCGGAGGCAGAUAUUUGCAGCAGUCUGAAAUAUCAAGCUCAACAGCUCACUCAAGAGCCAACCCUCACAAACCUUCCUAAAAACUAAAAGAGCUAUUACUGAGUCUCAGCGAAUCUUGCCAUGAUCAGCUCUUCCCAGAAGAGAAGGAAGACCAAGGAAAUGAUUUGCUCAGGAUGAGAAAUGAAGAUGGCCAUCUUGUGCUCAAACAAACAGAAGUCCUCUGAUGAUCUCAUCAGCCAUAUGAGGGGUUUUGAUCAAGUGAUGCUCUUGAAAGGACUGAAAGAAGAGGAUGUGGUAAAUUCUCUUCAGAGAAAAAGCUUCUCAAAAGGUCUAAAAGCAGCUUGAAGAAUGGUCUGGGAUCUUAGGACUGAGAGAUCCUCUGGCUGAGAGAAGCUACACCACAUCAGUGCUGGAUAUCAACCACAAACUGUUUCCAGACACGAGAGAAGAAGAACACGAUGGGGAGAUGAAACCAGUUUAGAUCUGAUGAUGGGAAUCAUUAUUUUCUGAAACCGUAUCACAUGUCUUAUAUGUAUCACAUGAUCUGUAUCACAGUUGACUGGAUGGGACUGUGUGACUUUUAAGGACAUUUCAUCACUCAUCUGUGAGAACUGAUUUAUAUAUGAGGUUAAUGUAUUUUUGAUGAUAAUUAUUUUCAUUGAAUCUUAUUUGUCUUGAUGCUACUUUAUCAACUUUAUAGUCUAUGCUUCAAUAAAAUGAAAAUGCUGAAUAUUGUGUUCUGAAGAUUCUUGGUAAAUACAUAAUUUUACUAGGUAGGCUCAUAUGUGUUUAUUUUAGACUUGGAAAAACGACAUAUUAAUUAUUGGGAUUAUUUUUUAUUUAAGACAUAAACAUUUUUGAUCGGAUUAAUAACAUCUGGGACAUCAGUACACCAGAAAGUAAUUUUUUUAUAUUUUAGUAACAAAUAUGCAAAUUUUUUGUGAAAUAAAGGGAGUUACGAGAUUAAUUAUUCUGCAUUACAAGAUGGUGCCAUGGGCUUUAUUGUUACAAACACUUGAGGGAUAACUGAGAAUGUAGCAGGAAUGAUCAACGUGGAUCUAGUAAUGCAUUAAAACCAAGAGCACACACAUUACUGAUGUCCAGCACCUGAGGAGCA